CACGUAGGGGACAAGCGUUGUCCGGAUUUAUUGGGCGUAAAGAGCUCGUAGGCGGCUCAGUAAGUCGGGUGUGAAACCUCCAGGCUCAACCUGGAGACGCCACCCGAUACUGCUGUGGCUUGAGUCCGGUAGGGGAGCGUGGAAUUCCUGGUGUAGCGGUGAAAUGCGCAGAUAUCAGGAGGAACACCGGUGGCGAAGGCGGGACUCUGGGCCGAUACUGACGCUGAGGAGCGAAAGCGUGGGGAGCGAACAGG
rnacentral:rRNA from 1 species